rnacentral:rRNA from 1 species
UACAGAGGUCCCGAGCGUUGUUCGGAUUCACUGGGCGUAAAGGGUGCGUAGGUGGCUUGGCAAGUUUGAUGUGAAAGCUCAGGGCUUAACCCUGAAAUGGCAUUGAAUACUGCCGGGCUGGAGGUUUGGAGGGGGGACUGGAAUUCUUGGUGUAGCAGUGAAAUGCGUAGAUAUCAAGAGGAACACCAGUGGCGAAGGCGAGUCCCUGGACAACACCUGACACUGAGGCACGAAAGCUAGGGGAGCAAACAGG